rnacentral:rRNA from 1 species
GACGAACGCUGGCGGCGUGCUUAACACGUGCAAGUCGAACGGAAAGGCCCUGCUUUUGUGGGGUGCUCGAGUGGCGAACGGGUGAGUAACACGUGAGUAACCUGCCCUUGACUUUGGGAUAACUACAGGAAACUGGGGCUAAUACCGGAUAGGAGCUCCUGCUGCAUGGUGGGGGUUGGAAAGUUUCGGCGGUUGGGGAUGGACUCGCGGCUUAUCAGCUUGUUGGUGGGGUAGUGGCUUACCAAGGCUUUGACGGGUAGCCGGCCUGAGAGGGUGACCGGCCACAUUGGGACUGAGAUACGGCCCAGACUCCUACGGGAGGCAGCAGUGGGGAAUAUUGCACAAUGGGCGGAAGCCUGAUGCAGCAACGCCGCGUGCGGGAUGACGGCCUUCGGGUUGUAAACCGCUUUCGCCUGUGACGAAGCGUGAGUGACGGUAAUGGGUAAAGAAGCACCGGCUAACUACGUG